AUUGAACGCUGGCGGCAGGCCUAACACAUGCAAGUCGAGCGAGAGGCGGACGGGUGAGUAAUGUAGGGGGAUCUGCCCGAUAGAGGGGGAUAACUAAUGGAAACGGUGGCUAAUACCGCAUACUAUCGGCUGAACCCAUAUUGGAUUAUCUAGUAGGUGGGGUAAAGGCUACCCUAGGCGACGAUGUCUAGCUGGUCUGAGAGGAUGAUCAGCCAAACUGGGACUGAGACACGGCCCAGACUCCUACGGGAGGCAGCAGUGGGGAAUAUUGCGCAAUGGGCGCAAGCCUGAGGCAGCCAUGCCGCGUGGAUGAAGAAGGACUUAGGGUUGUAAAGUCCUUUCAGCGGGGAGGCGUUACCCGCAGAAGAAGCACCGGCUAACUCCGUGCCAGCAGCCGCGGUAAUAC
rnacentral:rRNA from 1 species